AGUGAACGCUGGCGGUAGGCCUAACACAUGCAAGUCGAACGGCAGCACAGUAAGAGCUUGCUCUUACGGGUGGCGAGUGGCGGACGGGUGAGGAAUACAUCGGAAUCUACUUUUUCGUGGGGGAUAACGUAGGGAAACUUACGCUAAUACCGCAUACGACCUACGGGUGAAAGCAGGGGAUCUUCGGACCUUGCGCGAUUGAAUGAGCCGAUGUCGGAUUAGCUAGUUGGCGGGGUAAAGGCCCACCAAGGCGACGAUCCGUAGCUGGUCUGAGAGGAUGAUCAGCCACACUGGAACUGAGACACGGUCCAGACUCCUACGGGAGGCAGCAGUGGGGAAUAUUGGACAAUGGGCGCGAGCCUGAUCCAGCCAUACCGCGUGGGUGAAGAAGGCCUUCGGGUUGUAAAGCCCUUUUGUUGGGAAAGAAAAGCAGCAGGUUAAUAUCCCGCUGUUCUGACGGUACCCAAAGAAUAAGCACCGGCUAACUUCGUG
rnacentral:rRNA from 1 species